UACAUAGGUGGCAAGCGUUGUCCGGAUUUAUUGGGCUUAAAGGGUGCGUAGGCGGCCCUGUAAGUCAGUGCUGAAAUAUCCCAGCUUAACUGGGAGGGUGGCAUUGAUACUGCGGGGCUAGAGUACAGAUGAGGUAGGCGGAAUUGAAGGUGUAGCGGUGAAAUGCUUAGAUAUCGUCAAGAACACCUAUAGCGAAGGCAGCUUACUAGGCUGUAACUGACGCUGAGGCACGAAAGUGUGGGGAUCAAACAGG
rnacentral:rRNA from 1 species